AUACGGAGGAUCCGAGCGUUAUCCGGAUUUAUUGGGUUUACAGGGUGCGCAGGCGGGAGAUUAAGUCGGCGGUGAAAUUUUGCAGCUCAACUGUAAAAGUGCCUUCGAAACUGGUUUCCUGAGUGUAGAUGAAGUAGGCGGAAUUUGUGGUGUAGCGGUGAAAUGCAUAGAUAUCACGAGGAACUCCGAUUGCGCAGGCAGCUUACUAAACUGCUACUGACGCUCAGGCACGAAGGCGUGGGGAUCAAACAGGAUUAGAUACCCUGGUAGUCCACGCAGUAAACGAUGAUUACUAGCUGUUUGCGAUACAAUGUAAGCGGCUGAGCGAAAGCGUUAAGUAAUCCACCUGGGGAGUACGUUCGCAAGAAUGAAACUCAAAUGAAUUGACGGGG
rnacentral:rRNA from 1 species